GCUGUUCCUGCCACUGUGUGUUUAACCUUGUUUGGGGAUCAUGUCCGAAGAGUAAUUGUGAGGCCUGGGCCAGAUGCCCUCCAGGCCGGCGCUGUGCUCGGCCCUGGCGUAGGCAGAUGAUCCAGGGCUGCGAUGCUCUGGGAGCAGGAUCCGCUCUCGGGCAGCGGCCCCUCCCACACAGGCAAUUGGGUUCAGGAGCCAAGAGCUGCCCUCGAUGUCGUGCAGAUGCCGAAUGCCACAGAGACAUAUUGCUGCACGCUGAGGCCGUCUCAAAUUGAACAUUACCACGUUAGUGAACCAGCUGGACUUGACAAGACGCAAGUAAACCCUGACUUUACUGUGCCCCCGCACUCCUUCUUCCUGUGGCAUCGUUCCGUGCGCGCCAUGGCUUCUCAGAUAAUAGAAAAUCCAGUCCAGUUUAAUAAUCAGAUCGCUCCAGGCCAGGGUAAUAUCGAAAUUCUCAAUUCUAUUCCAAGUAAUGCUUCUCCCUCCCAGCUCUGCGUUGCUUCCCUCUCUCAGCCCGUGGAGGAGGGGUGGGCACAGUCGAACUUCUCUUUCUUUGCUCCAUCUUGUCCCAUCUCCUCUUCCACUCAUUACCUGCUGCUUUGGACCCACCUAGGGCCCCGCCCUGUGAGCAGAGAGGAGGCGUGAGGGGCAGCGAAUGUCUAGCUGGCCUGGUUCAGUUAUGGGCUGGAGUCUGCCCUCUGCAUGGGGCAGACGUCCACUGCCGACCAUUCUCCCAAGGGGACCUUCCGCAGAUUCUCGGAGCUCCCCAGCUUCCCCUGCGUCUCCCUUGGAUGUGGAGCGCCUCCUCUCCUUGGCCACAUUCAGCCCCCUCUCAGCCCUGGGCGUCCUUUCCGUGGGAUUCACUGCUCCUCCAGGCUGACCUCCGGGUGAGAUCAUUUAUAAAAUGAUUCCAGGCUCGCUCUUCAGCAAAGGGCCGGCCUUUGGUCCAAGGGAGCCAUGCACCUUUGUCCCACUGUGGCUGGAACAGCAGCUCGUUCCCAACACAGCCUCCUCUCCUGUUUUGCUCCACCAGGCCCAGCGAGCCUCUCACGUUUGAUUUCUCGCAGCACACGUCUGGUGCCAGCCCUUGUGUCUUCUGAACUUCAGGGGCAUGGAGAGCUCUGCCAGCGGCUGUCGGGAAGUGUCUUUAUUGUGCAUCUCAUCGGUGAGCAGGAAGCUCUCCCUCUGCUUCCCACUGGGGUCGGAACACAGCACACCCAUAGCAUUCCAGAACAGUCCCUACAAUCUGCCUCUUCCACAUUCCAGCUCCUUCUAUCUGGCCUAGAGACAUGAUCCUCAGUGCUGUUGCCUGUAAAGAAAGCGCAGUGAUGCCAACCCUCAAGAUUAUUUACAAGGCGAAGAGCCCAUCCACAGGGAAAAUCUCUGCCAGACUGAAGCGCUCCGCCACCUCUGCUCUUGUGCUUAUUUGCCGGACAACCUCACAGGCUGGUGCAACACUCUCCCUCUUUUCAGCCACAGGACGAAAGAGUCACGCUCCCAUACGUGACACCACCUCCAGGGAGAGCAGAGUUUUGAGCGAUGCCUGGUGCACUAGUUAGGACUUCACCUCUUCUCCCCGGUUGAAGGACGCCUGUGAGCUGGACUCAUGGUACGGCAGGGACAGCCUUGGCUCUGCACGAUUUUUUUCCUAAGUUACCAUUUUUAAAUUCCACUCUCUAGCUGUUGAGAUAGGAGGUUCCUCCCCAGAGGGUAGGACACUGUCCCUCAAAGGCUGCCGCCCUGCGCGGCAAGGGCUCACAGGAGUCCUCUGAUUUCAAGGAAAAUCUGUGCUGGCUUUUUGGGGGUGUCUGGAGACCAGUCUUGGGAGACACUGAUAGAGAAUGCCAGAAAGUUGGCUGUGUUUUGAGCUCAUUGCUGGUGAGUCUGUGUACCUGGCUCACAGGAAACGGGUCAGAUAGGGCUCUGUCUGGGGGCGAUUAUCCUGAUAUUCACCCUUUGGGGUACAUUUUCUAUAUUAUAUCAGUGGGAGAAAUGGCAGUGUCCAAGGGCAUGUGCUGGCCCCUACGUCGGGGGUUAUGAGACCCUCCUCACCCAUCUCCUGUGCAUCUGCCGGGGGGCCUGCCCUGCUCGCAGUCCCGCAUCUACCCGUGACCCACCCAUUUUUCUUAGAGAAACACUCGUGCUUUCCAUGCCUGAGGUUUGAGGGAAGUUGAGGCAUGUCACCCCUCCCCAGCUCCAGGGUGGGCACUCAGAGGCCUGAGUGGGUUCAACGAUGUGUCCCCAAGAUCCCAGCACACGUCACGGUGGCCCUGUGAGUUUUCAGGCCACGGACUCUCUGUCCCCUAUUAUCUGUUCCAGCUUGGUCAGAAUCAAGGUGGUGAACAUUCUUCCAUUAUUAUUUCUUUAAUUUGAAAAAAUGCAUAAUAAUGCACAAAUAUAUCCAACAAUACAGAAGUGAAAUGUGAAAUGCCCCUCCUCCGACACUUACUUCUCUCUUCCUAGAGGUCACCUCUGUUCUGUUUAUACCAUCUAGGUACCUAUAGAAAUACAUAGUUUUAAAAAUGCAUAAAUGGAACCAUACUAUGUAUGUCAUUCUGAAACUUCAUUUUUCACCAUCCAAUGUGCCUUGUGUGGAUCUUUCCCUGAUUCUUUGUAAUCAAGCAACCCAAGUCCGUUUCAGAUCGGUGUGGGAAAGGGUGCAGUGUUCAGUAGAUGCUGUUGGGAUAGCUGACUAUCCAUUUGGAAGAGUUACAGUGAGAUAACGAACGUAAAACCCAGGUAUGUGAAGGAUCAAACAUGCUUUUAAAAACCAUAGAAUUUGCAUGGGUCUCAUAUAAGACCAUUUUUAAGCCUGGUAAAUGAGAAGGCUUUUUUCUAGUAUGACAUAAAUGUGGAAGCCAUCAAAGAAAUGACAAAUUUGAG
rnacentral:lncRNA from 1 species